AUUGAACGCUGGCGGCAUGCCUCACACAUGCAAGUCGAACGGCAGCACGGGUGCUUGCACCUGGUGGCGAGUGGCGAACGGGUGAGUAAUACAUCGGAACGUACCUUAUCGUGGGGGAUAACGCAGCGAAAGCUGUGCUAAUACCGCAUACGCCCUGAGGGGGAAAGCGGGGGAUCGCAAGACCUCGCGCGAUUAGAGCGGCCGAUGCCUGAUUAGCUUGUUGGUGGGUAAAAGCCAACCAAGGCGACGAUCAGUAGCUGGGCUGAGAGGACGAUCAGACACACUGGGACUGAGACACGGCCCAGACUCCUCCGGGAGGCAGCAGUGGGGAAUUUUGGACAAUGGGGGCAACCCUGAUCCAGCAAUGCCGCGUGAGUGAAGAAGGCCUUCGGGUUGUAAAGCUCUUUUGUCAGGGAAGAAACACCGGCUCUAACACAGUCCGGGAAUGACGGUACCUGAAGAAUAAGCACCGGCUAACUACGUGCCAGCAGCCGCGGUAA
rnacentral:rRNA from 1 species